rnacentral:lncRNA from 13 species
UAUGUGUUGACGUCACAACACAGUAAAGGCCUGGAUACACAUUAUCCCCAAUGCUAAUCAAUACAAAAGGUCUGUUAAAUUGGCGGCUCUGUUUGCAGCUGGUCCUGUCACAGGGAACAAAACUCUGAUGUUUUGUUACAUCAGCGACAUUUAGAGAAUAAAGGCACCAACAUGGUGUGGUUCUAAAACCUGAAGGCUUUUAAUAUAGGUCUCUGUGUCAGAGGGAUGUCUGCUAUUCUCCCUGGUUAUAACUGGUUAGCUCUCUGUUGAUAGGAAGUGAUGUCAGAGCUAUCUGUUGGUUUGGAAUAGUUUGUACUGGUUCUCUGUUAGGAAGUGAUGUCAGAGCUAUCUGUUGGUUUGGAAUAGUUUGUACUGGUUCUCUGUUAGGAAGUGAUGUCAGAGCUGUUUGUUGGUUUGGAAUAGUUUGUACUGGUUCUCUCUUGAUAGGAAGUAAUGUCAGAGCGCAUCCCUAAAAGUACAGGGUCCAAGGUUACAAGGAUGACACAUGGAUCAUUCACGUGAACAUGUAAACACAGAGUAUUAGCCUGGAAUCUUUCUCCAGGAAGUUGGUCAGUUUCUCUGAUGCUGUUUGAUGUUACGUCAUAUUGUAUAAUUACAUUAGAAUGAUGAAACCUACCGCUGCUUGUUCCUCAGACUUUUCCCCACAACCACUUCAAUUAAAUACCAAUAAUAACAUCUCAUCU